CUGAAGCAAAAAAAGCUCUUAUUGUAAACAAGCUGCAAAGACAAACGAAAUAUACAUCACACUAAAGAUGCUUAUGCCAAAAAGAGUUAGAGCACGCAUCUCGAUUCUUCCCAGCAUCGUGUUCUCCACCUUCCGACUUUGCGUUUUGAAGCUUGGUCAAUCAUCAUCGUGGAUUCGCGUUCAACCUUUGGUGCGUUUGGAAUCAUUGAGUUUUUCACUGAUACGUCACGGCGAAACAACGACGAACACGACGGAUUCAAAAUCCAAACACAAAAUCACGUUAACCUCGAAUCGUGCCAAUUUCUACGUGUGCGGAAUGAAAACGGAAAGAAGACUAUGAAGACUCACCGAAUCAGAAUAGUUGCGUGAAUUGUUGAAAAUCGUUGUGAUUGUCUGUUGCAAAUUGUUGUGAAUGCAAAGUGAAUGAGAUUCGGAGAUGCUUGGUGUAGAAUGAAGUGAUUGCAGAAUAAAGAAUUUGGAAAAGUUGCAGAAUGAAGAAAUUGUAUAUUGAAGGAGUUUUCAUAAUGAAGAAGUUGUUGAAUGAAGAUAGGGUGUUAAUGUUAAUGGAAAUGUGGUUACGUCAUGAAACGCAAUGAGCUAACCAUGCAGCCAAAUGUUUCUCAGCAAAGGCUGACCCAACAUGGCGAUACCCUGAUCUAUAUGACCUGUGGUGACCUCAGUCUCGAAAUUUCAGGAUGUCCAGGAUUUCCUAUCAAACUGGUUCGAUUCGAUCUCCGUGUAUUUUUAAAUUUACUUGACUGUGUUUUAGUGAAUAUAUCUAUUAAUGAAUGCUUAGCAAUUCUGUUGGUUAUUGAAUGCAUGCUUUGAAUAGUGGCUCAUGAACCAUGGCCGUGAAUGUUGGAUUUUGGUGAUGUUAGGCAUUGUUUGGAUUGUGCUAUGGACUUGUUGUGGUAAUGCAUUUACAUGUUUGUAAUUUGAUGUAUUGGAAUGAUUAUGAUGAACAUGGUUGAACUUGUGUUUCUA